AUUGAACGCUGGCGGCAUGCUUUACACAUGCAAGUCGAACGGUAACAGGGUGCUUGCACCGCUGACGAGUGGCGAACGGGUGAGUAAUGCGUCGGAACGUGCCGAGUAGUGGGGGAUAACGCAGCGAAAGUUGUGCUAAUACCGCAUACGUACUGAGGUAGAAAGUGGGGGACCUUCGGGCCUCACGCUAUUCGAGCGGCCGACGUCUGAUUAGCUAGUAGGUGAGGUAAAGGCUCACCUAGGCGACGAUCAGUAGCGGGUCUGAGAGGAUGAUCCGCCACACUGGGACUGAGACACGGCCCAGACUCCUUCGGGAGGCAGCAGUGGGAAUUUUGGACAAUGGGCGAAAGCCUGAUCCGGCCAUGCCGCGUGUCUGAAGAAGGCCUUCGGGUUGUAAAGGACUUUUGUCAGGGAGGAAAUCCCUAGUGCUAAUAACACUGGGGGAUGACAGUACCUGAAGAAUAAGCACCGGCUAACUACGUGCCAGCCGCCGCGGUAA
rnacentral:rRNA from 1 species